CCUACGGACAUGGCUGCAUAUCACCAUGGGUGGAAAUUAAAUCAGAAUUUGGCUCAGGAGAGAGAUGAAGAGAAAAUGCACAUAGAUAAUUGGCUCAGAUAACAUUCUGUUUCUGGAAGUCACAAAGAGUGGAAAUUGGAAUAUGUAAAUUAAAGAAAAACAGCCUUAAGAUCAAGUCUGCAAUGGAAGAAGAGCAUUCAUCUGGUACAAGUUGAUGAUUGUGUAAGUCCAAGGAGUGAUGUCAACACUGGGGUUCACCUGAGAACAUGGACAUGGCUGAUGAGGGUUUAGGAGAUGCUCAUAUGGAGUCUUCAUAUGUUCCCUGGAUCCCAGCUCUGCCUCCCCACCAGAGAGUAUGUAAUUCAGCCGAGAUGUCCCAGAGUCAGCUCUCUGCUCAUAUCUGUUCCACACUGAAGCCAAUCAUCUGAGAAACCUAAGAAGUGUUUAAUGUAGUUAGGAAAGUGAGGGAUGGAGACCAUAAAUUCCUUUUCAUGUAGCAGAGUAUAUAUGUGAUACUCAUUCUGUGGCAUUUGGGGCAUAAACAAGAGUCGACGAAGGAACG
rnacentral:lncRNA from 1 species